rnacentral:rRNA from 1 species
AUUGAACGCUGGCGGCAUGCUUUACACAUGCAAGUCGAGCGGCAGCGCGGGGGCAACCCUGGCGGCGAGCGGCGAACGGGUGAGUAAUGCAUCGGAACGUAUCCUCGAGUGGGGGAUAACCCAGCGAAAGUUGGGCUAAUACCGCAUGAGCUCUGAGGAGGAAAGCGGGGGACCUGCGAGGGCCUCGCGCUGGAGGAGCGGCCGAUGUCCGAUUAGCUAGUUGGUGGGGUAAAGGCUUACCAAGGCGACGAUCGGUAGCUGGUCUGAGAGGAUGAUCAGCCACACUGGGACUGAGACACGGCCCAGACUCCUACGGGAGGCAGCAGUGGGGAAUUUUGGACAAUGGGGGCAACCCUGAUCCAGCCAUGCCGCGUGAGUGAAGAAGGCCUUCGGGUUUUAAAGCUCUUUCGGACGGAACGAAAUGGGCGGGACUAAUACUCCUGUCUGAUGACGGUACCGUAAGAAGAAGCACCGGCUAACUACGUG